GUUAAUGUAGCUUAAAUAAAAGUGU
rnacentral:tRNA from 1 species